rnacentral:rRNA from 1 species
UACAGAGGGGGCAAGCGUUAUUCGGAAUUAUUGGGCGUAAAGGGCGCGUAGGUGGCCCGGCAAGCGUGCGGUGAAAGUCGGGGGCUCAACCCCCGAUCGGCCGUGCGAACUGCGGGGCUGGAGCACUGUAGAGGCAGGCGGAAUUCCGGGUGUAGCGGUGGAAUGCGUAGAUAUCUGGAGGAACACCGGUGGCGAAGGCGGCAUCCUGGACCGGCAUUGACGCUGAGGAGCGAAAAGCCAGGGGGAGCAAACGGG